rnacentral:lncRNA from 1 species
AUUCACACUAGAUCAUACCCGGAGUUCUACAAUUAGGUAUGAUUACAACUGGGAAGCUACCCUUCCUGGAUAACUAUUUUAGUAUCUGUUUUUAUUUACUAAUGAAGAGAACCAAAUAAAUUGGCUACUGCCAUGUUCCUCCCUUAAAAAAAAGUUUCUGGUAGAUGUGCUUCGCAAUAAUAGUGGUAAUACCUAAAGGAGUUCUUGCUGCAAGUUAGCGCAUUUAUAUAUUCUUAGGUACCACGUACCUGCAUUACUGGUUUGCGUUAAGGAUUUUGCUACUAUCGCCAAGGUAUCUACAGAAUUACAAAUAUGAUGCAACAUGAUUUUGCUAAUGUCGGUUACAAAUAUGAUGCAACAUAAUUUUGCUAAUGUCGGUUACAAAUAUGAUGCAACAUAUUUUACUUAGGCUUAAGUAUAUGAGCAAAUAGUUGGAGAGCUACGAAGUAAAGAAAUAUCACACUCUACAAUUCUUGUCUAACUGAACCAAGUUCAGUUUUGAGUGUAGAGAAAUGUAAUAGAGCAACCAUUUCAAAGUUGCAUCUAAUUUAAGAAAGUGAUGAGAUGAAUGUAGGGCAUGCUUAUCGAAUGUAAAUGGACACAAUAUUCAUCCCUUACAACGGGAGUAUAGAAGCCUAGACCUUACUGAUUCAAUGAUAUGGUACGUGCAAUAGAGGAACUUGAUGCAACAGACUACACUCCAUUUACAAACCUUUUGAUGCAGCAUUAGAAAUUGUGCCAUAUGUAAUGGAAAUGCAUUUCUUCCGUUUUGGAAGUUAUAUUACGAAUUUUAGUAUGUCUUAUAGUUUGUCAAUAACCAAUGUGUCGUGACAAUACAAAAAUGAUCUUGCAUAUGAAAACACUAACAGGGUACCGGCUAUAGAUCAAUACUUACCAUGAAUUUCUCCAAUCCAUACCUCUUUUAGAUAGUAGCACAAAAGAUGGGAGAUGCUACAACACAAGUACAUGAUGAUGGUUGAUCUGAUAUCUCAACGAGGUAAUAUGGCAGGUCCGGAAAAUUUGCGACCCUUAAACAUGUCAGUGCAUUGUCACGAACCUUCCUUGAAGAUAGAAAUAUGCCAAUGACCUUUAUCCGAUCCCUGAGUUUCAGAGGUAAUGGAUGAAACAAUUGUAGAGUUUGUUUUUCAAAUAAAGAACGAAGGGCUAGAUUGUCCUGAAAAAGUGAUGGCCGCCAAACCUCACAAAAAUCAAUCGGCCAUUAGUUUAGUGGACUAUUUUUCAGUCUAAUUAGUGGAGACAUAGAGAGUGGCAAAAAUGUUUAAAAAAAACUAAUAUAAAAAUAUGAAAUAUUUAGUUAUUCUCUAUAUCUGAGAAAGCAAUAAAGAACUUUGUGUUAGGUAGUGCACUGCAGGAGUGUGUACCGCGACUAUUACUGCACCACCAAGGAAGGCUUGAUCUAUCCCACAGGUCCACCUUCUUUGUCUUUCCGUUCUUUGAACUGGAUCAGCUUUGAUCAUUGAUGGAAAAUCAUUAUCAUCUGUAAAGCAACAUUUCAUUUUAUGAUUUUUAGCAGAGGCUACAUAGGCCUCCUACACGAAGCCUGCAAUUUGAGGCAGUUCUUUCUGCUCCACCUCAUGCCCGUGCAUUGUUGGUACGCGUAUCUGAGCUCGUGUGUGCGCGUGUCUCUGCAACCGCAAAACUAGAUACCGAAAUCAAGGGAUUUGAUUGGUAAGUGAUGGAAAAAAGGAGAGGAAUAGCAGCAGGCAAUAGAAGGAUUUUUGAAGAGAUACUUUUUUCUCUGUAGAAUUUGUAACUGUGACCCGAUAGUUAAUAACUGAAGCCUUGUGUGUGUCUUCUUCUUAAGUUUUGCACAAGCAGCAGCACUAAAAUUUACCAUGUUCUAUUUUCAUUACCCCGCGCUGAAGUGUAUAUGUAUGCUGACCAAUGACCAUAAACUAUACAUGAUUGGGCAAAGAAUCACUCCGGUGCCCCGGAGAUAGAUGAAGCUUUAACGAAGGGAGAAGAUGCUGGGGCUUCCCUUGGUUAGCAGCAAUAACCAUAUCAUUUUUGUGUUUAUCAGCAUAAGCUAAUAUCUGGAAGCAGGGCUUCUUUACUCUGUAGUCCUGCAAUUUUUCAUGUUCAUGGUGUCACUUUCCCAGUACUCUUCUGUAGCAGUGUUUUGUGCUAAAAAGUGAAAAUUUCAACGUUUUGCAGUCACUACCAACAAGUAAUAGCACUGACUAUUAUUUUAAAUAGAAUAUGAAAUCGAGCUUUCAGCUGCAUCUUUUAGCAUCCUAGCACUCUCAUCAACUUCAGAUUUACCACUGGUGUCACUUUUCUCAAGAAAUCUGGAAAGAAGCAAGGAUUGUCAAGUAAGAUAAGUCUGCUUACAAAACUUUGCCUACUGGAAAGUAGAUAAGAGACUCAUGAAGUAAGAAGACAUGCCUACAUAUUAUACAUAGCAGGCUUCUGACUUCUCUGAUUCUUCGAGCCUUGCGGUUGUGAAAUAUCUAUGCUAGGUCGCCACCUUCAUUUGAUUAGGUACAUUCAGAUUCAGUUUGUUUAUUACUUUGUGGAUGCUUCUCUUCUCAUUACAGUGCUGGGCAAUUUGAUGAGAAAUUGUCUUCUCUUUGAUGGUCCAGGUUCAGCGUUCACUGCUAUGAAAGAAGAAGGCAUAGAUUUGCCUUGUGGAAUUGCCAGUAGAAUGGCAGUGAGAACGAGUAAAUAUCUAUGAUAGGCAAUACAUUAUUUUGAAGCUACAUGGAAAGCAAA